CGGGAGCGCGCGCCGGGCUGAGGCGGCGCGAGCGGCUCUCGGGGCCGCGCGCACCUCCAGCAAAGGGACGAGCGCACCUGCCGCGGGGUGCGCGCAAACGCCGCGCGGUAGCACCGCGUUAGCGGCACGGAGCACGGCGGAUGUCUUCACCUGCCAGCCCGCGCGGUGCGCGCCGGCCGCGGUCAGGCGCUGCUGGCCAGCCCGGGCAAACAGCGUUACUUUUCCACGCGCGGGGCACGGAGAAUGAAUGGAAUGAGCGAAAGGCUGGCGGCCCGCCUGCGGAAACCGGAGGGCUAUCUUUAUGAAGCCGAUAACCGUCUCACCCUGAUAUUAUGAUCAACUCGGUGCCGACACACCUGUGACGGUCCAUUGUUUCGUUCAAGGUAAAAAUAAAACUGAAUUUCAUUGAAGUGCA
rnacentral:lncRNA from 1 species